rnacentral:tmRNA from 1 species
GGGGGCGUAAAGGUUUCGACGGGGGGAGCGAGGCCUGGGCAGCGGGUAGCAGUGGGGGAACUGCUCUAAACUCCUCCAAAAAAUUAACUGACAACAAUAAUUAUCAGUUGCUCGCAGCCUGAGUGCUGCGCGUUCCGCCCACUCUUGUGUCGUGUGGGG